GUGUUCCAACGCCCCCCAAUAAUAUAAUACCCCCAUAAGUCAUUUUAUAACCAGAUAUAAAAAAAGAAGAAAGAUUCGAAGAAUUUAUUGAAAUUAAUUCAGGUGUCCUAUGGCGAAUUAACAUUUUCGCAGCCGGUGACGCGCAGUUACGUUUCCUUUUUGUUUUUAUUUGCAGCUGGUUGGAAUUUUUCUAAAAUUAUCCUCCAACGUAAAUAGCUAAAAGUGGACAUUUCAGAAUUUUCUGGCAUACCCUGUGUUCAUUUAAAUGUCGCAAGUGACGAUGAAAAAUUCAGAAAUAACGGGAGAAAUUAUCUUGUCUAAUUAUUAUCUGUAUUAAUGAAACUUGGAAAAUACAGCAGCUUGUAUUUUUGAUAAUUCUUCGUUGCCUACUCAUAGAUUCUCGAGUCUUGUGUUUUCAAUAAUUCUUGGUUACUUACUGAAAGAUUCUUAUAUUUUUAAUAUUCCUCGAUUGCCUAUUGACAAAUGCUGCAGAAAGCUUUUGUAUUCUUGUUACACACGACUGUGAAGUGUAUCAGAAUGACAGAGUACAGAUAACGAACAAGUUUCAAACAAGCAGUUGCAAACAGAAUACUUCCAACGUUUUCUAUUAUUUUAUCCUCAUGGCAUUAAGGAACCCUGCUGUAAACAGCUUCAGUUCUUAUCUCAAUCGUACAAGAUCUUUGGAAGAGACAAAACACAAAAGAAAAAAAUCGGCUGUGAAAGAAGUUAAUUCCAAUCUGCUCAGAAUGAAU